CAGGUUACAUUCAGCAAUGGGAUUACCUUUUUCGGCGCCACAAAUAUUCGACGGUGACAGGUGUUACGUCUCGCUGUGGUGCUGUCCGGAAUGGGCUACGUUUUCUUGAAAUCGUUAUGCAAAUAUUCCGUUUGGCGGGAUCAUGACAAACAUUGGAAGCAAUUACUACGCCAGUUUGAACCUGGGGUCGGAACCGAUGUCACAGCAUCAGAAGAAGCUUUUGUGUCAGAACAAGAACGAGUUACGGGGAGUGUCAAUCAGUGGUCCAGGGGUGCCCAGUAUGGCUGGUCACAGGGAACAGGACUCGAACAAGUCUCGUCAGACAAGGUGCGGAGGAACUGUUGACAAUAGCAGGAGCAGAGGUCGAAGGUCUUCCUCCAGGAGUCCCAGAUCUCAGACCGCAACAAGAAAUAUAAAAGUAGAACCUCGACCUCCUCCUCUUCUAGUUCAAAAUCUGCUUGAGACUCUGAAGUAGCUAAUGUGGUCAAUGAAACUUUAACGGUAAGUUAAAUGAUUCCGCUCAAUAAUCGUACAGAGUGAUUACUGUGCUAAGAAGUUUCUUAUUUGUACUAAAUAUACUAAUUGUCUUUCUGAGAGUGAAACUACGUGAUUUAUGAAAACGCACUGUCCAUGUGUAAUAUUAUAAAAAAUUUCCGUUAUUCUAAUAGGUUUAUUUUCUAAUUUAAUUUGUACUUUUUAAUUUUGUUUUAGUUGAUAAAAGUGGAAGGUAAAAUUAUUAUUAUCUGUGAUAACGAUUGGAUGAAUUCUGUGUAGUAAAGUACAAUUUCCUUCCGACGGGCUGAUCACUCGUCCAAGAAGACCCACGAAAUGUGUAGAACAGAUCAAGUGACCUACCAUGUGGGGUGAGGCCACGGCCAAUUAAGGGAUGUAGAACCACAGAUAGUCAUUUAGUUCAAUUCUUUAUUAUUAGUGUUCUGCAUUAAGUGCCAGAAGGCUAAUUACAGAUACAGCAUAGGAGGAACACAAUAAAAAAUUUAGAACCGUAACAACAAGGAGAUUAUCGGAACAUUACGUAAGUGUAGACGACGUUGAUAUAAAAAGGAAAGUUGUUACUGAAUACGUUAAUGUCUUUGUAAUAAUAAUUCUAAUAAGUAAAGCUGAUUAGAUUAAAAGGAGAAGAAAAUAAUUUUAUUAAUAAUACAGUACUAGAUAUUUUAUGGCAUAAAAUCAAUUAUAACAAAAUGUUGAUUAACCUUGUUAAUGACGUGGAGAGCUGGGCUGAAUAAACGAGAUGGCGUGUGAAAUAAGGUUCACUUAAGUCAUAGAAUCCACUCAAAUUCACCAAGCAGCACCCGAAUAAAAACAGAAGUACUUCGUUUUUUGAAAAGGUGACGUGUAACAUGAAAUUUUGCUUCAUAAUUGUUGGAAAAAAAGUUGUAAAAUGUGCACUGUUUUUAUUGUUCUCGCGUUAGCUGCUGGUGUAUUUUCUCUUUUUGGCUUUCAGGAGCUCGCCCCCCGUGGGAGAGGAUCAGUGUAUAAUAAACUGGAUUAUUUUUGUACAUCUAAUUUUUAUUAAACUAAUGUCGACGUUUCAGGCAUUCGAAAGAGAAAUGUUUGUUUAUGUUUAUAACGGAAAAUGGAGGCUCUGUCAUCUUCCAUACGCCCGUCACUAUUAUACGUGUUUUGGAUGAAGCGACAAGAGACUUAAUCUUCAUCAAAUAAUAUUGGGAUUGUCAAAUCAAGGAAGACUAGAUGGGUUAAGCAUGUGGCACGCUUGGAAAGAUGAGAUGGUCGCAAAAUCUGAAGGGAAGAGACAAUUUGGAAGACCUGAUUGUAAACGGAUUGAUAGAAUGGCAUGGAAUAUCCAUACCUAUCGAUACCUUUUACCAGUCGACAUCGUGCAUUGUACAAAGAAUUCUACAGUGGAUAUUGAACACCUUGAAACUUCGAGUCAUUUAUUCAAAGUAACUUGCAUCACAGUAUUUUGUAGAUGAAGUCAAAUCUCUGUUUUCUUGCAUUUAAGCAUUCUCUGUAAAUCGUGCUCUCAAGGGGAUUAUGCCAUCGUGAUUACUGUGUGCUGUCCAGAGAGAAGGGAACAAAAGGGGGUUUUGUGUUAUCUGCAUACAAAUGCACGUAAUGGCAUAGCUAUUUCCUGUUUAUUACGGACGUGUCUGAUGAUUUAUAGAUGGAGAAACCAUCCAGCGUUUGUUUACCGAGCCAAUUUAAACUUUAAAUGAAAUGACAGCAAGAUCUAAAAGAAAUAAAUAUACGGAACUGAAGUAAUCUGACGAACACUUGUUGGGUGUAACAUGGACGUAGGUUUUUUAAAUUUAUGAAAAGUUUUACUUAUGUCACAGGUAAGGUUAAUCAAACCACAAGCAAAAUAUUGGCUAAGUUUCCAGAGAAAAUGAGAUUUGAGGUUCUCACGGUGAAAAUGUCGAUGAGUUUCUUCUGGGUCGUCACACUGUGCAGGCUUGUAGGUGGGUACAACGUUUUGGAGGAACAUUCUGCUUUCAUCUCCAGGACUGAAGUUGGUAGUUUUAUAAUAAAUAAUAAAUGAAGUAAUGAUGAUGGUGAUAAUAAUAUUAACAACAACUACGAAUACCUAUUGGUUGAUAUACAUCGCGAGUGGAAUGUGAAGGCAAAGGUGAUACGUACAAUAGACAAAUAUUGGUACAACUGAAGCUUAUUACGAUCAUUUCAAACGAAUUUAGAUGGCAUUCCUCAUAAAUAUUCCAGCAUGGAGCUACAAAAGACGUCCAUCUCAGAAACAACAGACAUCUUUAGGUUUCCACAUAGCACUUAAUUCAUUUUGUAUAAUUUUUAAAUACUAGGUCAUGAGGUUUGACCCUGACUCAAGGACAGAUGCCCUGUAACAUGAUACAAAAACAACAGUUAUAAAAACAAAAUAUUAAUAGUGAUAUAAUAAAUUAAACCUAAUUGGGAACUUUUUAAAUUACAUUUUUAUUUUAAACUCCUGUUUUAAAAAACUUGCGCAUUUUCAUAACGAUUAAGUGAUACAGUGACUGGCUAAGACUGGAUAGCCAGGCUUCUAUUCCCGAUAGAGGCAAGGACUUUUAUUUUCACCUCCAACUGGACCUGUUUUGGGCCCACACAGUUUCUAGCCAACUGAAACCAGAGGCUCUUUUGUAAGUGCCGCGUUAAACAGAGCGGAACUUGGUCCCACCGGCCCUACAAGUUUUCUCGACACAUUACUUUACAGUAGAUGGCACAUAUUCAAACAUGCUGUCGCCAUAAUGUUUCUCAUGUAAUGCAACGUAUCGAGGGCCAUAAAAUUAUACUCCUAGCAUUUCCCAUCUUGCUUAUGCUUCUUCAACAUUAAACAGUGACGGAAUCAGUUAACAGCUGCGCCCAUAGGCCUAUUAUAAUUCCCUCUCUAGAAUAUGCAGUACUUUAGAAUGCAGAUCCAACCGCCUUACACACAAUCUGAAGACUGAACAACGAGAAGGGGCCUUUUCUUAAAGAACCAAACAUUAAUAAGUGUGUGGUGUCUAAAUAUUAUGGUAUAUACUCAUAAGUGUGUAAAAUUUCUUAGCUUGGCUGAAUCAGAUUUUAAGAAACGUAUGCAGUCUUUUAAUAAAAUGUUCAAGACCCAUUUAAAGUAGAUAGCUAAUGUCUGAUUUCUGUAAUGCCAGCCAUAGUAAUCACUGUUUAAGGAAGGAUGGGGGAAUAUAAGUUACUGCUAGUAGUGUUAUAAAUGAUUAUUGAAAACGAGUUGUCACGAACUCCCUAUAACUUUGAAAUUGCGUUACACAAAAUUAAAGAAAAUUCCUUCGAAUGAUAAUAAGAAUUCCCUAUUCAAGCAUGAGAACCGGUGAAGGUUACACAGGGCUCAGCGCUAGUCGUUUGUCUUUUCUGACGUAGAAUUGUGCUAUUUUACGUCUUUGACUAUAUCGUGUACGGAAAAUAGAGAAAAAAGAUAUAUAGUCACCAAAAUGGGAGACAAUUUAUUGCUUUUAUUUAAUGGCUGCAGUCUUCGUUGUGUAAGUCGCAGAAACUUUAAUGGGUUGUCUGGUAUGGAUGUAAGGAAAUGUUUCCUUCACAUGUGUUUCCUAUACGAACCAUUUAAACUAAUUUCGCAGUGAUAAACUACAAUUCGUUAUGUACUACGUAUUUCUUUCUGUAUUUUUUGUACUGUCAUUAUAUGUUUCUGCAUUGUUUUUAUAAAAAUGCAGACCUGACAAUGAAGUAGCACACGAACAGUUGUUAAGAAGACUGAUAUUCUUGUAACUACGUUACACACGGCCUCGGACUUGGAGGAAUUCUUUCUAUGCGUGCACAGACGGAGUUUAAUCUCUACAGAGCGUAAAUACUACAUUCUUCCUAAAUCAAGGUCUUGUUGUUAUGGCUGUCAUUUGAUACAGUAUUUAUAAAAUUUACUGUAGAAUAACAGUAUGCUUUACGUAAUAGCAUGGGUCAAUAUUACAGGGUGUUCUAGAAUGUUCGGCAACAUGACUUUUUCUUGGACCAUAUUAUAAAAAAUAUUUGUAACCAUAGUUUUAAAUAAGGAGCUCAGAAAUUGUUGCAAUUUGCAAAUGAUUUUCUAAAGUUUUUGUCACAAUGAUUAAUUAUAUAAAUAUUAUAUUGCUUUUGUCUAUCUUCUGAGGUAUAUUUGAAAAAUGCUGAUGUUGCUGUUUUGAGUUGUAACGCCGUUUGGACCCGUAGGUAGAUACUAACUUUUCGGAAGCACAUACUGCCUCCAUCUUCAUUCCUAAAGAUGGAGGCAGUAUAGUCGCCGAAUCGUUGUUAUCUACCUACGAGUCCAAAUGGUGUUAAUAUCUAUGACCAAAAUCAACAUCGUCACCGCCAUGAGAACCCCAGAUCUCAUGUAUUUGAUAUACAUGAAGUUUCAGGAGUUUACCCUACGCUCUGCAGAUAGUAGGCUGUCAUUGCACUGACAGUUCUUUAAAUUUUUAUAACAAAGCGAAGGUGUAGAUCAAUCCGGGACCUUUAAAGAUGGUAGUACGGUAAUCACUAAAGGUCAUGUUCCGGAUUCCAUCCAAGUUCUAACACAUAUCUCUCAGUAUAGUGACAAUCAUCAUAUGCAGACGAGAGAAGAGACAACUCCCGAAACGUCGUGUAUGUAAAAUAUGCCGCAGAGAGUGGAUAGUGUGAAACAUAUUAGUAGUACGAAUCGUAAAUUUGUAAUAUAAAUUAAUCGUAUUAAUGAUCACAAGAAGAACAAUAAUGAAUAUAAACAUGUAACAAAAAUAAAUAUGUCAGCGAGUCAAUCAAGUUAAUUAGCCCUUUGAAACCACUGCUUCCGUGUAAAGAAAGCCCCUGGUAAUUGUUGUACACUGUAAUUGUUACAGAAUUUCUGUAAUAUGAAGCAAAUUGCAGUUUGAAUUUACUUCGCAAACACUGUUGUAUUAAUGCGAAGAUCCUUAAAUAAAUAAACAUGUAUUCUUUUCCAGUA